rnacentral:lncRNA from 1 species
AAGUUUUUCUGUGACACGAAACGUAAGGCUACCAAAAUUUUUUGACAAAGUGUGAAAUUUCAAGAUGGUGGCCGACGAAGGAGAUGGAGAAGGACAGAAGGAGCGCGAGCGCCCAUUCCAACAUUCGAAGAUCAUUGGUCGUGACGUACCGAUGACGUAGACUAGUCAGCCAACUAUCAGCCAAUGAGAAAUUAAUAUGUGUUAUCACUUAUCAUGCGUUAUCAAUUGUUUAUGUUUUUGUACGGUUGAUUUUUGUAACGAAUUUACAUUUACAGUUUGUGGAAGUUUUCGGUCGUAAGUAAUCAGCAAAAAUAAUUUAAUUUUUGCGCUCAGUGACACAAUGCCACCGGCACUUCAUGUAAAUAAUGCACUUUUAUAUUUUUAAGAGGAAACUACCUUUGAUAAGGAAUUCACAGCUAUUUAAGUGGAUAGUGGAAACAUAAGACAUUUACCUAGCUCUGCAAACCGAAUCGAGUGGAAUAAUUAUUUAAAUAAUAUGUAGUAGAGUCACUGAUUCUCUUUUCAAUGGCCGCCUCACAUGUAAAAGAGCCCACAAUUUUCCACUGUAACUCAUCACCUAUAACUGCCAAACCAUCAAAAAAGCUGAAGAUUUGCUCCACACAUGUUUUUAAAUAUCCUUGCCAACAAAAGGAAUCAGUGACGGAACAUGAGAGUCCUAUCCGGCCGCAUAAGAACAGUCUACGAUCCAAACAAGCUACAGAUAAGCAACCACAUUUCAAACAGAAAUUUCAAGAACUACACUCUUCCUUUUCUGAUAAUGGAGCACUGAAUGUCAAUUGUUCUUUUUUGGUAGGAGAAACCGCAGUUAAUUCCAAUACAACUUGUGCUCAAGUGAAUUGUCAAAAGGAAGUCCCAAGCAAACAGAUGAAGGGGUCCAAGCCUGUACUUAUUGCUCAAGCUCAUUGCUUGUCAGAAAUAUCAAAUGAAAACCUUAAUAGAAAAUACCGCAUGUUCAAGAGAGGAAGUAAAUUAUUACCUGGUUGUGGUAACAAGAAAGUUCAUUUUACAAGUAUUGAUAAAGAAAACCAGACCCUUAGUUCUUUUGUUAAAGAUUUGAAUACUGUAACUAACUCUAAGCCUUUUCCAAGGACUCAAAUCCUUAUCUCCAAGCCUGAAAAAUUUCACAAUCAUCGCAAGAACCAGUUUGAUCUGCUGCACUCUUCUUUUUUACCCCUCAAGGAACCUACUGACAAGACAACCUCAAAUACAGAGAUCAAUGAAGUUUUUUUUGAAGAAAAGGAAGCUCUGAAUAAAUAUGAGUGUUCUGAACCAGAUUUCUCACUUUCCGCCCAGCAGUCAGAGAGCUUAGAGGUGGCUGACACUGACCACACUGUGGGAAAAUGGAAGUCACAUUAUUUCUCUCCAACCACUGCUUGUCACCAAUUAAAUUCAACAAGAGAAUCAGCCGAAAAUUUCUCUCAUUUGAAACCAAUAUCAGAUCAUGAGAGGAUCUCCUCUUUAAUUUCAAAGAUGCCCUUUCAUGAACGAAGCAUGUACAUGGAUUCCACGAUCAACUUAAAUUUGGAAAAUCAGAGCACUAGUGAAAAAGGUUUCCAUGCCCUCAGUGAGGAAACUGCUAAAUUUCCUUCAAAUGAGUGUGACAUACUCUUCUCAUCAGUUGUGGAAUGGAGACAAUUUUUUCCAUGUGACAACAAUUGUGAUGGGAAAUCGAUUAGCUCUGACUCAAACAGUCGGUCUGAAUUGACAAUUGCUACCAAAACGCACAAUUCACCUGCUUCCAAGAAAUUUAUGUCAGAAGCUAACAAACAUAAUUCCUAUGCAAAUCCAAGAACCAAUGCAGACCAUGAAUCAAAAGGUACACUCAAAAAACCCACUUGCACGUCGAAGAUAUUUUCCAAUUUGAACCUCUUUGCUGUAAAGGAGGAAGCAGUGCAACGACCAGCAGAACAAUCCAGUAGUAUUCAGCAAUGCAAACCCAAUGUAAAUUACUUGAACAUAUCGAUGAUAGAAUCCUGUUAUACUGAUUUCAAAAUUCCAUCCCAGACAGUCAAACAGUCAGGUCUGGAAAACCAGUUGGAUGUGAAAAAUAUUACCAAACUAUUCAUCAUAGAUUUGCUAAGAGUAGCUCCUACUCCUCAAAGAAAUCAUUAUCUCUUCCACCAUAAAAUUAUCCACCGGGUGGAUGUUUUCGGUGUUGUAACAGGAGUUCGAUUGGUGGGAGAUGAUAAAGUAAUAUAUGAAGUGGAUGAUGGAUCUGGAACUAUAAGUUGCGUUCACCGUCAAACAAGAUUAAAAGCAAAAAUACAAAAAUUGAAUAAUCUCCUAAGUUUAAAGAGAAGGGAUGAGACUUUAAACAAUGAGUCAUUGAAUCAAACGGAAAUCACGAUCACGAACAAUUCUACCAAAGAGAAAAAUUCCGAUGAGGAUACUGCUUUAAGAAAGGUAAGAUGUACAUCAAAAUAUAUUAAGGUCGUGUUCACUGAAGUAUGGAGUAAUUUUAUUAGCUCAGAGGAGGCUCCACUUUUAAAGGUUUAUUUAUUAGUUUUUAUACCUAAUCUUAACUUUUAA